rnacentral:rRNA from 1 species
UGGGGAAUAUUGCACAAUGGGCGGAAGCCUGAUGCAGCGACGCCGCGUGGGGGAUGAAGGCCUUCGGGUUGUAAACUCCUUUCGACAGGGACGAAGCUUUUGUGACGGUACCUGUAUAAUAAGCACCGGCUAACUACGUGCCAGCAGCCGCGGUAAUACGUAGGGUGCGAGCGUUGUCCGGAAUUACUGGGCGUAAAGAGCUCGUAGGUGGUUUGUCGCGUCGUCUGUGAAAUUCCGGGGCUUAACUCCGGGCGUGCAGGCGAUACGGGCUGACUUGAGUGCUGUAGGGGAGACUGGAAUUCCUGGUGUAGCGGUGAAAUGCGCAGAUGUCAGGAGGAAAACCGAUGGCGAAGGCAGGUCUCUGGGCGGUAACUGACGCUGAGGAGCGAAAGCAUGGGUAGCGAACAGG